rnacentral:tRNA from 1 species
GUGGGGUUGUGGAUCAGUGGUAGAGUACUCGCCUAGCAUGUGCAAGGUCCUGGGUUUGAUCCUCAGCACCACA